ACUUGCGGCCGCACCAACCUGGAAGGGUCUGAUCUCGACUGAUCUCUGAAGUGAUCCGGGGCCGGCCCUGGUCAGUACCUGGAUGGGAGACCAGGUGUCGUAGGCU
rnacentral:rRNA from 1 species